GAGAUGAGAUUUCCCAACUUCGGUUAUAAGAUCCCUCAAAGAUGAUGAGGUAAAUAGGUUCGAGGUGGAAGCGUAGCGAUACGUGGAGCUGACGAAUACUAAUCGAUCGAAGACUUAAUCAAAUU
rnacentral:rRNA from 1 species